rnacentral:rRNA from 1 species
UACGUAGGGUGCGAGCGUUGUCCGGAUUUAUUGGGCGUAAAGGGCGCGUAGGCGGCCACGCACGUCCGUUGUGAAAUCGCCCGGCUCAACUGGGCGGGGUCAGCGGAUACGGUGUGGCUCGAGCAAGCUAGGGGGCAAUGGAAUUCCCGGUGUAGUGGUGGAAUGCGUAGAUAUCGGGAGGAACACCAGUGGCGAAGGCGGUUGCCUGGAGCUUUGCUGACGCUGAGGCGCGAAAGCUAGGGUAGCAAACGGG